UUGCUCAGAUGACAUCACAUUUGGACUACUAAAGCUAUCCACCCACUCUUCAAGGCAUAAUGGAUUUCUAGGUAAUUUAACAAAUGCAGCGUGAAGCCCGUUCCUUCAUUUGCAGAAACCUCUGGAAAGUUAUUUGGAUGCUAUAUAUUGAAUGUUGGUGAAAUUAGUUGAAAAUUUAAUGCUUUUCUGUAAAAGAGGAUACUCCACGUUAUUCUUGAGAAGAACCAGUGUUUCAUCCCUAAACCAUACACUUUAACAAGUCCCAAAGUAUAAAAGGCAAACGUACAAAUGUCUACCACA
rnacentral:lncRNA from 1 species